UCCUCUGUAGCUCAGUUGGUUAGAGCACUGCACCGGAAUCGAAGGGCUGCAGGUUCGAUUCCUGUCAGAGGGC
rnacentral:tRNA from 1 species